GAGGCUGAAAAGAAGAAAUCCACUCUGAGUGUGUGUGUCUGUGUGUUUGGAAAUGCAAAGCAUGUUUCCUUCUCAUUGAUUUCCCAACACAAUCGAGUCUACGGAAGCUACUCUGGGCUUCAGGUGAUCACCUGUUUUGCAUCUUUCGCAGGAACCUUAACUUCUUUUUCAGGCUUCUCCUCUGUCUGGAGUUCCUCGAAAAACUAAAGGAAAACACAAGUUGCAGCAAAUCAAGUAAGCGAUUCAACUAUAAAUCUGUCGAUGAGCACGUACUCACACUUUUUUUCCCCUUUUUAUCUUUCUUCCCCUUUUUCACAGCCUUUUCUGUGGGAUGAAAGAUCAUUUGAACUCAAAAUGUGGACAACGUGUGAAAGAAAUACUUCGGAGAGUGACAAUUUAGAACAAAUGCCAGUCCCGACAGUCCACGUGAACCAGAGCCAGAACCUCUCCAUGGAUGAGUCAGCGGUGAUGGAAAUCAAAAGCACACAUUGCACAAACUUGUUCAACACGCAAGCAGGAUCUGAAAGCUUGCCAACCAACAAGGCGUGUGCGUGUGCGCGUGUACACGUGGGUACGUGUGAGUGUGCGUGCGUGCACGUGUGAGUGUGCGUGCGUGCGUGCCAUCGUCAGAUCCGUGUUGUCAGGGCAGGGUCGAGUGCAGCUGGCGAAUGCGAGGGUCCGAUAGGAGUAGCCUUUAACCCUGCCCUCGACUUCAAAUAUUGACCCUGUUGCUGUGCCAACAACACACAAUGAUGGAGAGGAGCAGGAGGAGCUACUCCAUGAAUGAAUGGAUGGAUGGAUGGAUGGAUGGAUGGAUGGAUGGAUGGAUAGAUGAAUGGGCAGAGGCUCCAAGACGCCUCCGCACUAAACUUCUUUCCAAGUGGUUCUCGAAAUAAAAAAUCUUUAUCACAUCUGAUCAGCGUAAUCCUGCAAACUAUUUCCUGUUUUACAAUUUCUACUA